CCUGGGAGUCUGCAAAGUCACGCCCAAACCAAACUGUCUCCCCACUCUGAAAUCCAGUAACGCCUGAAUCUGGAAAAAAGGUGGAUUUCCCUCAUCUUUGUGCACACUGUCCCCAGGCAAAGCCACUUCAGAAUGCAGACUGACAGUCCUGGAAGCCCAGGCUGUAGUGGAGAGGAGGGUGAAGACCAGCUGGUGUCAGGGAGGAUUCUGUCCCAGCUCUGCUGAACUGGCCCGUGCCUCACUUGCCAGCAAGAGAGUCUCAAGGAUUUUGUAUGUGCAGUCCAGCAGGCUGAGCCACGCUCCUGUCCUUUUGCUACCAGGUAGAGGUAAGACUGGCAGGACUUGCUGGUGAGGACAGCCAGAGCAGUACCCCAGGACAAAGCUCAGAGGGUGCCACUGGAGCUGCUCAUGCAAGAUCCGUACAGCAGGGUAGACCCCAUGCAGUUCGGAAAUACUCGGCUGAUCAGACCCUGCAGCACACAAAAAAAGUCCUUUUUCCAAGUAGGACUCUAAGAGAGGAGAGUGCUCUCAGCAGUAUAAAGAAACCCUCAGCAGUCUGAGAUGAGUAGUUUCAUUCUGGUAAUACUUUUUUCAACGUCUCAGUAGAUUUUCUCUUCCAAAAGAAAUGCGAUCUGGAGUCUGUCACCAAGAGCCUCUGAGUGCACUGGUUGUGGCUUGGGGCUUUGUUUCUUUUCUAGGGAGUAGAACCAACCUGUUCACUGAGUAAGUUCUUCCCUUCUCUCCUUGGGAUGCUUUUGCUUUAUCUCAAAAGGCUGUUAUUAACUGACAGGUUGGUGUAAACACACAUUUUGAAAACAGUGCCUGUGUCCUGCACACGCAGCACUUGUGCAUCUCCACAAUGAUCACAGCCAUCAUUCCUCACAUGUCCCCAUCAACAGCUCCAGCAUCCAGCUGGGGGGAA
rnacentral:lncRNA from 1 species